rnacentral:rRNA from 1 species
UACGUAGGGUGCGAGCGUUAAUCGGAAUUACUGGGCGUAAAGCGUGCGUAGACGGUUAUGUAAGUCAGGUGUGAAAGCCCAGGGCUCAACCUUGGAAUUGCAUUUGAGACUGCAUAGCUAGGGUGCGGAAGAGGGAAGCGGAAUUUCCGGUGUAGCGGUGAAAUGCGUAGAUAUCGGAAGGAACACCAGUGGCGAAAGCGGCUUCCUGGUCCAGCACCGACGUUCAGGCACGAAAGCGUGGGGAGCAAACAGG